UGGGGAAUCUUGGACAAUGGGGGCAACCCUGAUCCAGCCAUGCCGCGUGAGUGAUGAAGGCCUUAGGGUCGUAAAGCUCUUUCGCCUGUGAAGAUAAUGACGGUAGCAGGUAAAGAAACCCCGGCUAACUCCGUGCCAGCAGCCGCGGUAAUACGGAGGGGGUUAGCGUUGUUCGGAAUUACUGGGCGUAAAGCGCACGUAGGCGGACCAGAAAGUUGGGGGUGAAAUCCCGGGGGCUCAACCCCGGAACUGCCUCCAAAACUAUUGGUCUAGAGUUCGAGAGAGGUGAGUGGAAUUCCAAGUGUAGAGGUGAAAUUCGUAGAUAUUUGGAGGAACACCAGUGGCGAAGGCGGCUCACUGGCUCGAUACUGACGCUGAGGUGCGAAAGUGUGGGGAGCAAACAGGAUUAGAUACCCUGGUAGUCCACGCCGUAAAACGAUGAAUGCCAGACGUCGGGGGCAUGCCCUUCGG
rnacentral:rRNA from 1 species